rnacentral:rRNA from 1 species
UUGACCUCGAAUCAGGUAGGACUACCCGCUGAACUUAAGC